rnacentral:rRNA from 1 species
GUGCAGUCGAACGAUGAACCUUAGCUUGCUAAGGGGAUUAGUGGCGCACGGGUGAGUAAYAUAUAGAUAACGUGCCUCUUAGUCUGGGAUAGCCAUUGGAAACGAUGAUUAAUACUAGAUACUCCUUCUUAUUCCAAUAUAAGUCGGGAAAGUUUUUCGCUAAGAGAUCGGUCUAUAUCCCAUCAGCUAGUUGGUAGUGUAAGAGACUACCAAGGCAAUGACGGGUAGCGGGUUUGAGAGGAUGAUCCGCCACACUGGUACUGAGACACGGACCAGACUCCUACGGGAGGCAGCAGUGAGGAAUAUUGCACAAUGGGGGAAACCCUGAUGCAGCAACGCCGCGUGGAGGAUGACGCAUUUCGGUGYGUAAACUCCUUUUAUAUGUCAAGAAAAUGACGGUAGCAUAUGAAUAAGCACCGGCUAACUCCGUGCCAGCAGCCGCGGUAAUACGGAGGGUGCAAGCGUUAUUCGGAAUCACUGGGCGUUAAAGGACGCGUAGGCGGGAAGGCAAGUCUGAUGUGAAAUCCUAUGGCUCAACCAU